UCGUCGGUUUGGAUGAACAGGGUAUUAACUCAAAAUUUACGAUUUUUCACCUAAAAAUACAGUCCUACUUAAAAUCACGCGAUCUUUCUAACGAACGUGGUUGCAUAACGAUAUGACGUCAAACUGGCGGGGGUGCGGGGUAGUAUCUUCGUCUCUUUCGCGCUUUUGCACGUGUUGGUUUGAACAACACUGUCGUAUUCAGUCUUACUCGCGGAGUUGUGAUGAAAGGACGUCGUUCGUUUGUGAUAUACAGUUUUAACCUUGAAAAACGCAGUGUUCAUUAAAAGAAUGAUUUCGCAAAGAGUUACCUUAAUCAGAAACGCUGUUAAAGAUAAUCCAAGAGAGGGAGAAUCCGCAUUAGUUUCUUAUGAUGAGACCGUGAAUAUUAUGUCUACUCAAGCGACUAAUCAAGAAUGGUGCCCGAUGAUAGUCCUGAAGAACCAAUAGCUUCAUCUUCUACUUUCAAUGACACAUCUAACAACACAACAGAAGCCAAUCAAUUAGAGGAGAUUGACUCUGAUUCGUCAUCAUUGUCCUCGGUCCAUCAAGUCGAAAAUUAUGGUAAAGUUCUUGAAAGUACACAAAAUCUGAUAAUUCUAGAAACAAUGAACACUAAACAGUUAAAUGCUUAAAUAUAUAUUUCUUCCAGAACCAUGUUUUCCCGGAGUUAACUCGGAUGAUAGUCCGAGUAGAUAGAUUAUAGAUAGAUAGAAAAAAAGAGAAAGACUUCCUCUAAUCCUAGUCGAAUUAAACUAAGACUAAAUUUAACAAAGGUUAAAACUAAGAAUUAAGAAUAAAGUUAUAUAGUAAUAAGUAAACCAUAAAAAUACUGAUACUACUAAGAGCCAAAGACCCCAACGGUCUUUAGUGUGCUCAAAAGUGUAGCUAGUGAUUUAAAUUUGUUUAUUUAAAUACUAAGAAUGAUGUACACUAA